GACGAACGCUGGCGGCGUGCUUAACACAUGCAAGUCGAGCGAUGAAGCUCCUUCGGGAGUGGAUUAGCGGCGGACGGGUGAGUAACACGUGGGUAACCUGCCUCAUAGAGGGGAAUAGCCUUCCGAAAGGAAGAUUAAUACCGCAUAAGAUUGUAGUACCGCAUGGUAUAGCAAUUAAAGGAGUAAUCCGCUAUGAGAUGGACCCGCGUCGCAUUAGCUAGUUGGUGAGGUAACGGCUCACCAAGGCGACGAUGCGUAGCCGACCUGAGAGGGUGAUCGGCCACAUUGGGACUGAGACACGGCCCAGACUCCUACGGGAGGCAGCAGUGGGGAAUAUUGCACAAUGGGGGAAACCCUGAUGCAGCAACGCCGCGUGAGUGAUGACGGCCUUCGGGUUGUAAAGCUCUGUCUUCAGGGACGAUAAUGACGGUACCUGAGGAGGAAGCCACGGCUAACUACGUGCCAGCAGCCGCGGUAA
rnacentral:rRNA from 1 species